AUUAAACGCUGGCGGCAUGCCUUACACAUGCAAGUCGAACGGCAGCACGGGGGCAACCCUGGUGGCGAGUGGCGAACGGGUGAGUAAUACAUCGGAACGUGCCCUGGAGUGGGGGAUAACGCAGCGAAAGCUACGCUAAUACCGCAUAUUCUGUGAGCAGGAAAGCAGGGGAUCGCAAGACCUUGCGCUCUGGGAGCGGCCGAUGUCGGAUUAGCUAGUUGGUGGGGUAAAGGCCUACCAAGGCGACGAUCCGUAGCGGGUCUGAGAGGAUGAUCCGCCACACUGGGACUGAGACACGGCCCAGACUCCUACGGGAGGCAGCAGUGGGGAAUUUUGGACAAUGGGCGGAAGCCUGAUCCAGCCAUGCCGCGUGAGUGAAGAAGGCCUUCGGGUUGUAAAGCUCUUUCGGCGGGGAAGAAAUUGCUUGGGUUAAUACCCUGAGUAGAUGACGGUACCCGAAUAAGAAGCACCGGCUAACUACGUGC
rnacentral:rRNA from 1 species